rnacentral:rRNA from 1 species
UACGGAGGAUGCAAGCGUUAUCCGGAUUUAUUGGGUUUAAAGGGUGCGCAGGUUGUUUGAUAAGUCAGUGGUGAAAGUCUGUCGCUUAACGGUAGGAUUGCCAUUGAUACUGUUAGACUUGAAUAUGGAUGAGGUAGGCGGAAUGUGUAGUGUAGCGGUGAAAUGCAUAGAUAUUACAAAGAACACCGAUUGCGAAGGCAGCUUACUAAUCCAUCAUUGACGCUGAGGCACGAAAGCGUGGGGAUCAAACAGGA